GAUGAAGAACGUAGCGAAAUGCGAUAAGUAAUGUGAAUUGCAGAAUUCAGUGAAUCAUCGAAUAUUUGAACGCACAUUGCGCCCGUUAGCAUUCUAGCGGGCAUGCCUGUCCGAGCGUCAUUUCAACCCUCAGGGACCCCGUUCCGGCGGGGAACCUGGUGUUGGGGAUCGGCCCGCCCCGUGCGGCGCCGUCCCCCAAAUUCAGUGGCGGUCUCGCUGCAGCCUCCCCUGCGUAGUAGUUACAACCUCGCAUCGGAGCUCAGCGCGGCCACGCCGUAAAACCCCCGACUUUCUGAACGUUGACCUCGGAUCAGGUAGGAAUACCCGCUGAACUUAAGCAUAUCAAUAAGCGGAGGA
rnacentral:misc_RNA from 1 species